GUAGGGAAUAUUGGGCAAUGGUCGGAAGACUGACCCAGCCAUGCCGCGUGCAGGAAGACGGCCCUCUGGGUUGUAAACUGCUUUUAUCUGGGAAGAAAAAGGCCAUGCGUGGCAAAUUGCCGGUACCAGAUGAAUAAGCACCGGCUAACUCCGUGCCAGCAGCCGCGGUAAUACGGAGGGUGUGAGCGUUGUCCGGAUUUAUUGGGUUUAAAGGGUGCGUAGGCGGCUGAUUAAGUCAGCGGUGAAAGACUUCGGCUUAACCGGAGCAGUGCCGUUGAUACUGGUUGGCUUGAGUGUCGGAGGGGUACAUGGAAUUGAUGGUGUAGCGGUGAAAUGCAUAGAUACCAUCAGGAACACCGAUAGCGAAGGCAUUGUACUGGCCGACAACUGACGCUGAUGCACGAAAGUGUGGGGAUCGAACAGGAUUAGAAACCCCGGUAGUCC
rnacentral:rRNA from 1 species